rnacentral:rRNA from 1 species
GAGUUUGAUCGUGGCUCAGAUUGAACGCUGGCGGCAUGCCUUACACAUGCAAGUCGAACGGCAGCAUGAUCUAGCUUGCUAGAUUGAUGGCGAGUGGCGAACGGGUGAGUAAUACAUCGGAACAUGCCCUGUAGUGGGGGAUAACUAGUCGAAAGAUUAGCUAAUACCGCAUACGACCUGAGGGUGAAAGUGGGGGACCGCAAGGCCUCAUGCUAUAGGAGCGGCCGAUGUCUGAUUAGCUAGUUGGUGGGUAAAGGCCACCAAGGCGACGAUCAGUAGCUGGUCUGAGAGGACGAUCAGCCACACUGGGACUGAGACACGGCCCAGACUCCUACGGGAGGCAGCAGU